rnacentral:RNase_P_RNA from 2 species
GGAAGGAAGCUCACUGUAGAGGCUACUUGCUGGGUGCUGUUGUUACUCUAUCAACCAGCCUUGGGGAAGGUCUGAGAUAAGAGCCACUUGUUGCCUUCACAAGGCAUUGCUUGGUGUAAGCAAGUGAGUUCCCAUCAAAGAUGGCUCAGUUGCAAGCUUAAUGCAAGAGACAUAGCAAAGAAGCCCAAUAUACUUCUGAUAUGGAUGCAAUGCCCAACAGACUGGAAAUGACUCACGGCUGGCAUGUUCAAGCUCAAUGACUGAGGGGAAGCAAGUGAUGGCUUCCUAACCCAAUUCAGACCACUCUCCGGAAUUCC